AUCUGUCUAACUGACAUAUAAUAGUCAACAUUGCGGUUAUCAAUAUUUUUAUGAAUCAUCAUUAUUUUUUAUUUAGAACAUGAAAAAUUUUAGGCAUUUCUUAAGAAUAAAAAAUGUCUGAUAUUAAUUUAAAUAACUACAGUAGUGAUACCGAGAGUUCAGACGAUGAAAUAGAACCAAAAUUGAAGUAUGUAAGACUCUCUAAUGAUGUACAGAAUAUAUUAUUGACUUCAUCAGCAACUUGUAUAGCCGUUCAUCCAAAAUUUAUAUGUUUAGGAUCACAUUGGGGAGAAAUUCAUAUCUUAGAUUAUCAAGGUAACAGCAUUCAAAACAAGGAACUAAAAGCGCAUACUGUUAGUGUAAAUCAGAUAUCAAUAGAUUUAAAUGGGGAGUUUAUUGCUACCUGUUCUGAUGAUGGAAAAGUUUUUAUACACAGUUUGUUCUCCAAAGAAAAUAAUGCAAAUCUUAAUCUUGGAAGGCUUGUUAAAACUAUAGCUUUAGAUCCGCAUUAUUACAAGCUUGGUGCAAAUAAAAGAUUUAUUACAGGAGAUGACAAAUUGACUUUAUAUGAACGUACAUUUUUGGGAAACCUCAAAUCCACUAUUCUCUGUGAAAGUGAAGGUCUCGUUAGAAGUCUUUGUUGGGGUGAAAACUUUUUGGCAUGGUCUAGCAAUAUUGGUGUUAGAGUUUAUGACAUGACUGCCAGAUGUUCUUUAGGACUAAUAAAAUGGGAGGAUAAUUACGGAGUUUCAGUAGACAAAUUUAGAUGUAAUUUACGUUGGGCUGAUAGUAGAACCCUUUUAAUUGGUUGGGUAGAUACUGUUAGAGUUUGUGUGAUAAGAAAAAGGAGCAAUAUAGAACUCGCUAAUAGAGAUCUGCCAGAAUAUCUAGUGGAUCCAAUAUCGACGUUUCAGACUGAAUUUUACAUAAGUGGUAUUGCGCCGUUGGAUCAACAGUUGGUAUUAUUAGGCUUUCCAAAAGAAUUAGACGAAAAUAACAAGUCAUUGAGGCCUCAAUUGUAUAUAGUAGAAUACAGAGAUAAUGAUUAUACUGAUAAUUGUACUGAUAGUUUAUCCUUAAGAGGGUACGAAGAAUAUGGCGUCAAUGAUUACCACCUUGACGUACUUUUGGAAGAAAAUCGAUUUUUCAUUGUAGCUCCAAAAGAUGUCGUAGUUGCCAGCCCAUACGAUUUAGAUGAUAGGAUUCAAUGGUUUAUACAACAUAACAAGUUUGAUGAGGCGUUAAACAUCAUCAUGCAAAACACGACUAGAAAUAUUCAGAGACAUACAGUUCAGUCUGUCGGAAUCGAUUAUUUGGAUCAUUUGCUCAAUAGUGGAAUGUAUGAUGCUGCUGGUCAGUUGGGUUUAAAAAUUUUUGGCAAGAGUCCGACAUUAUGGGAAGAUCAAAUAUAUAAAUUCGCUAGCGUACAUCAGUUACGUUCAGUAAGCCCUUACAUUCCACAUACUCUCGAAUCUAAGUUGAAUCCUCAUAUUUACGAGAUGAUAUUAUAUGAAUACCUGAAAUUAGAUGCAAAUGGAUUUUUAACAUUGGUCAAAGAAUGGAAUUCCGGCCUUUACAAUAUAGCGGCAGUUAUAAAUGCAGUAUUAGAGCAUUUAUUAAAUUGUGAAAUUGACAAAAAUAUCUAUCUAGAAGCACUGGCCAUUUUGUACAGUUAUGAAAAAAAAUAUGACAAGAGCUUAUCGAUGUAUCUCAAAUUGAAACAUAAGGAUGUUUUUACAUUGAUCCAAAAAUAUAAUUUAUACAAUGUUAUCCAUGAUAUGUUGUUGGAUCUUAUGGAUUUAGACCACAUGAAAACUAUCGAUCUGUUACUUCAGAAAAAUACGAUAUCUUCAGAUAGAAUAGUAGAGAAGCUGAGAGAAAAUCAAUUACAUCUUUACAGGUAUUUGGAUGAAUAUGAUAAGAAAAAUCCCAAAGGGAAGUAUCACAAUGAAUUAGUGAGACUGUAUGCAGUUUUUGCUAGACCUAAAUUAUUAACAUUUUUGAAAAAAUCUGAUCAUUAUCCCAUUCAAGAAGCUUUGGACAUAUGCCAGAAAGAAAAAUACUAUCCAGAAAUGGUUUACUUAUUAGGCAGAAUAGGAGAUACAAAAGAAGCUUUGACUUUAAUUAUAGAUGAAUUGAAAGACAUGCAACACGCUAUUUCUUUCUGUCAAGAGCACGAUGAUCCCGAUCUGUGGAAUGAACUUAUCAAUAAAUGUGUUGAAAACCCAGAAUUUAUAACCUUUUUGUUGCAAAGUAUUGGAUCGUACGUGGACCCAACUAUGUUGAUUUUGAAAAUAAAAAAGGACACCAAUAUACCAGGUUUAAAAAAUUCUUUGGUUAAAAUGUUGAAUCAGUAUAAUCUGCAGGUGUCUGUUCAAGAAGGAUGUAAAAAAAUUUUGGUUUCUGAUUAUUUUAAUUUACAAAAAAAAUUGGUUAGAGUACAUCAAAAAGGGCUUGCUCUAAUGGACGACUUACUAUGUGCAUCCUGUACGAGAAAAGUUAUAGAACGAGAUUCUUCGAGAGCCUCUGAUAUUGCCGUUUUCAAUUGUAAACAUAUAUUUCAUCUGCAGUGUAUUCCAAAAAAUAUGACAAAAUGUGGAAUCUGCUAUGCUACUGAACAAAAAUGAAUUUGGAGAUAAAUUAUCAGUGGACCUAAAGAUAAUGCGUGUUUCCCUCCAAUGAAAAAAAAUAAUUUUAGCUUCCGUCUGUAAUAUAAAAAUUGUGAUUUUCAAGUUUCAAUGUUAACUAUGAUUAAAAUAAAAAAAAUACCUUGUAGUCUAAGUAUUUGAAGAAAAGCUGCAAGUCAUCAUACCAAGUAUUUUCGAGACCUUUUCUGUCGUAAGGACUGGGUUUUCCUAUGCUUACGAAUUGUAAAGGGUUAAUAUUAAUAAUAUAGCUACAACCAUCCCAUUCUUGGGUCACUAUUCUACCUGUUAAUUAGUAUUUACUACAAUGAAAAGAAGAUAUAUGGAAUCUGUAUAAAAUUAAGGUAUAAAAGCCACAGCAAGUUAAUUUAUGAAGGUGUAUAGUUUUAAUAUUUAGGUGCAAAUAUAAUUUUAUAUUAUAAUUAAAAGUUUAAAACCAACCA